rnacentral:tRNA from 1 species
GGAAAUAGUUUAAUGGUAGAACUGCUGACUCUGGAUCAGUUAAUCUAGGUUCGAAUCCUGGUUUC